CUGUGACCUAUGCAACCAGCCUCGUUUAGACAAAGGUUUUGCUCUCACCGGGGCUGGAGUACACUGGCACAAUCAUAGCUCCCUGCAGCCGGGAAUUCCUGGGCUCAAGCGAGCCUCCACCGCCUAAGUAGCUGGGACAACAGAUGCGAGCCACCAUGCCUGGCCA
rnacentral:lncRNA from 1 species